rnacentral:rRNA from 1 species
AACGAACGCUGGCGGCAUGCCUAACACAUGCAAGUCGAACGAAGCCUUCGGGCUUAGUGGCGCACGGGUGCGUAACGCGUGGGAAUCUGCCCUCAGGUACGGAAUAACUCAGGGAAACUUGAGCUAAUACCGUAUAAUGACUUCGGUCCAAAGAUUUAUCGCCUGAGGAUGAGCCCGCGUCGGAUUAGCUAGUUGGUGAGGUAAAAGCUCACCAAGGCGACGAUCCGUAGCUGGUCUGAGAGGAUGAUCAGCCACACUGGGACUGAGACACGGCCCAGACUCCUACGGGAGGCAGCAGU